UUUCCGGCGACCGAUCUUUCUGACUAACCCCAUUUUUAGAGUCCUCAUAGUCCUCUUCAACAUUUUCUUCAUUAUGUGCAUCUCCAUUAUCAUCUCCUCCAUCAUCAUCAUCAUCAAUCAUCUAGUUGAUCUUCAACAUCAUCAUCUAUUUCUUCCAUGUAAUUGUCCUCGUCAAGAUCCACCCGUUCCUCAACUUCUGUUCCCUCUGCCAUGACUGUUUAUCUGUUUCACGCCCCAAAUCAGUAAGUGUUGUAUAUGUGGACUGAGAUUUGCUUUCUGGGGUGACACUGUUUAUGUUUUCUUUGUUUCUGAUUCCUCUGUUUCUGUAUUUUCCUCUCUUGUGCAGCCCACUG
rnacentral:misc_RNA from 1 species